rnacentral:sRNA from 1 species
UUUUUAGGAUUUGGAAUAUUCCCUUUAUGUUCUAAUACAAACCCUCAUUUUCCCAGGGAGAUGAAUAAGCGUCUAACAGAGGAACAAGCCAAGAAAACCUAUGAUCGAGCAAUUAAGCUAGAACAAGAAUUUGGAGAAUAUUUUACAGCUAUUGUCCAAGGAGAUACUUUAGAAGAUAUAUAUAACCAAUGCAAGCUUGUUAUUGAAGAGCAAUCUGGGCCUUUCAUCUGGAUUCCCUCAAAGGAAAAGUUAUAAAUUAGCUACUGCGCCUCUGACAACGACAGAAGAGCAUUUAGAAGAACAAAAUAUAUAUAACAUACUACUUGGAGGCUUUUAUGUUUUUGUUGCAUUUAUGUUUUUGCAGUCAAUGUGAAUUCUUAUGAAUGUACAACACAAACUGUAUGAAGCCAUGAAGGAAACAGAGGGGCCAAAGGGUGGGACAGAAAAGACAUUGCAGUAUGAAGGAAGGCUUUGGUUUGCUCAAAGUGCCAGGUGUAGGGAUGAACCUCUGACGGGCUUUCUGCCCAAGAGAUGAGAUGAGAGCCUCCUCACCCCAGCAGAUGUC